rnacentral:rRNA from 1 species
AGCGGCGGACGGGUGAGUAAUGCAUAGGAAUCUGCCCGAUAGUGGGGGAUAACCUGGGGAAACCCAGGCUAAUACCGCAUACGUCCUACGGGAGAAAGGGGGCUCCGGCUCCCGCUAUGGGAUGAGCCUAUGUCGGAUUAGCUAGUUGGUGAGGUAACGGCUCACCAAGGCCACGAUCCGUAGCUGGUCUGAGAGGAUGAUCAGCCACAUCGGGACUGAGACACGGCCCGAACUCCUACGGGAGGCAGCAGUGGGGAAUAUUGGACAAUGGGGGAAACCCUGAUCCAGCCAUGCCGCGUGUGUGAAGAAGGCCCUCGGGUUGUAAAGCACUUUCAGUGAGGAAGAACGCCUGGUGGUUAAUACCCAUCAGGAAAGACAUCACUCACAGAAGAAGCACCGGCUAACUCCGUGCCAGCAGCCGCGGUAAUACGGAGGGUGCAAGCGUUAAUCGGAAUUACUGGGCGUAAAGCGCGCGUAGGUGGCUUGAUAAGCCGGUUGUGAAAGCCCCGGGCUCAACCUGGGAACGGCAUCCGGAACUGUCAAGCUAGAGUGCAGGAGAGGAAGGUAGAAUUCCCGGUGUAGCGGUGAAAUGCGUAGAGAUCGGGAGGAUACCAGUGGCGAAGCGGCCUUCUGGACUGACACUGACACUGAGGUGCGAAGCCGUGGUAGCAAACAGGACUAGAUACCCUGGUAGUCCACGCCC